GACGAACCGUGCGAACGUUGUUCGGAAUCACUGGGUUUAAAGGGCGCGUAGGCGGGCUGUCAAGUCGGUGGUGAAAUCUUUCGGCUCAACCGGAAAAUCGCCUUCGAUACUGGCGGCCUUGAGGGAGGUAGGGGCAUGCGGAACUUCCGGUGGAGCGGUGAAAUGCGUAGAAUAUCGGAAGGAACACCGAUGGCGAAAGCAGCGUGCUGGACCUUUUCUGACGCUGAGGCGCGAAAGCCAGGGGAGCAAACGGG
rnacentral:rRNA from 1 species